rnacentral:rRNA from 1 species
AACGAACGCUGGCGGCAGGCUUAACACAUGCAAGUCGAGCGCCCCGCAAGGGGAGCGGCAGACGGGUGAGUAACGCGUGGGAACGUACCUUUUGGUUCGGAACAACUCCGGGAAACUGGAGCUAAUACCGGAUAAGCCCUAACGGGGAAAGAUUUAUCGCCGAAAGAUCGGCCCGCGUCUGAUUAGCUAGUUGGUGAGGUAACGGCUCACCAAGGCGACGAUCAGUAGCUGGUCUGAGAGGAUGAUCAGCCACACUGGGACUGAGACACGGCCCAGACUCCUACGGGAGGCAGCAGUGGGGAAUAUUGGACAAUGGGCGCAAGCCUGAUCCAGCCAUGCCGCGUGAGUGAUGAAGGCCUUAGGGUUGUAAAGCUCUUUUGUCCGGGAAGAUAAUGACAGUACCGGAAGAAUAAGCCCCGGCUAACUUCGUG